CCUACGGGGGGCAGCAGUGGGGGAUAUUGCACAAUGGGGGAAACCCUGAUGCAGCGACGCCGCGUGGGUGAAGAAGCGCCUCGGCGCGUAAAGCCCUGUCAGCAGGGAAGAAAAUGACGGUACCUGAAGAAGAAGCCCCGGCUAACUACGUGCCAGCAGCCGCGGUAAUACGUAGGGGGCAAGCGUUAUCCGGAUUUACUGGGUGUAAAGGGGGCGCAGACGGCGAUGCAAGCCAGGCGUGAAAGCCCGGGGCCCAACCCCGGGACUGCUCUUGGAACUGCGUGGCUAGAGUGCAGGAGGGGCAGGCGGAAUGCCUGGUGUAGCGGUGAAAUGCGUAGAUAGCGGGCGGAACACCGGUGGCGAAGGCGGCCUGCUGGACUGCAACUGACGUUGAGGCCCGAAAGCGUGGGGAGCAAACAGGAUUAGAUACCCUGGUAGUC
rnacentral:rRNA from 1 species